UGAGUUUGAUCCUGGCUCAGAGCGAACGCUGGCGGCAGGCCUAAUACAUGCAAGUCGAACGGCUUCUUCGGAAGCAGUGGCGGACGGGUGAGUAACGCGUGGGAACGUGCCCUUUGGUACGGAACAACUGAGGGAAACUUCAGCUAAUACCGUAUGUGCCCUUCGGGGGAAAGAUUUAUCGCCAUUGGAGCGGCCCGCGUUAGAUUAGCUAGUUGGUGGGGUAAAGGCCUACCAAGGCAACGAUCUAUAGCUGGUCUGAGAGGAUGAUCAGCCACACUGGGACUGAGACACGGCCCAGACUCCUACGGGAGGCAGCAGUAGGGAAUCUUGCGCAAUGGGCGAAAGCCUGACGCAGCCAUGCCGCGUGAAUGAUGAAGGUCUUAGGAUUGUAAAAUUCUUUCACCGGGGACGAUAAUGACGGUACCCGGAGAAGAAGCUCCGGCUAACUUCGUGCCAGCAGCCGCGGUAAUACGAAGGGGGCUAGCGUUGCUCGGAAUUACUGGGCGUAAAGGGCGCGUAGGCGGAUGUUUAAGUUGGGGGUGAAAGCCCGGGGCUCAACCUCGGAAUAGCCUUCAAUACUGGGCAUCUUGAGUACGGGAGAGGUGAGUGGAACUCCGAGUGUAGAGGUGAAAUUCGUAGAUAUUCGGAAGAACACCAGUGGCGAAGGCGACUCACUGGCCCGUUACUGACGCUGAGGCGCGAAAGCGUGGGGAGCAAACAGGAUUAGAUA
rnacentral:rRNA from 1 species